UGAAAAAAAAUGAAAAAGAGAUUAAU
rnacentral:sRNA from 1 species